rnacentral:rRNA from 1 species
GGAGCUUGCUCCACCCCGACGACGAGUGGCGAACGGGUGAGUAAUACAUCGGAACGUGUCCGCUCGUGGGGGACAACCAGCCGAAAGGUUGGCUAAUACCGCAUGAGUUCUACGGAAGAAAGAGGGGGACCCGCAAGGGCCUCUCGCGAGCGGAGCGGCCGAUGACUGAUUAGCCGGUUGGUGAGGUAACGGCUCACCAAGGCAACGAUCAGUAGCUGGUCUGAGAGGACGACCGGCCACACUGGGACUGAGACACGGCCCAGACUCCUACGGGAGGCAGCAGUGGGGAAUUUUGGACAAUGGGCGCAAGCCUGAUCCAGCUAUUCCGCGUGUGGGAUGAAGGCCCUCGGGUUGUAAACCACUUUUGUAGAGAACGAAAAGACAUCUUCGAAUAAAGGAUGUUGCUGACGGUACUCUAAGAAUAAGCACCGGCUAACUACGUGCCAGCAGCCGCGGUAAUACGUAGGGUGCGAGCGUUAAUCGGAAUUACUGGGCGUAAAGGGUGCGCAGGCGGUUGAGUAAGACAGAUGUGAAAUCCCCGAGCUUAACUCGGGAAUGGCAUAUGUGACUGCUCGACUAGAGUGUGUCAGAGGGAGGUGGAAUUCCACGUGUAGCAGUGAAAUGCGUAGAUAUGUGGAAGAACACCGAUGGCGAAGGCAGCCUCCUGGGACAUAACUGACGCUCAGGCACGAAAGCGUGGGGAGCAAACAGGAUUAGAUACCCUGGUAGUCCACGCCCUAAACGAUGUUAACUAGUUGUUGGGAUGUAACAAUCUCAGUAACGCAGCCAACGCGAGAAGUUAACCGCCUGGGAAGUACGGUCGCAAGACUAAAACUCAAAGGAAUUGACGGGGACCCGCACAAGCGGUGGAUGAUGUGGAUUAAUUCGAUGCAACGCGAAAAACCUUACCUACCCUUGACAUGUCAGGAAGCUCUUGUAAUGAGAGCGUGCCCGCAAGGGAGCCUGAACACAGG